UUUUUUUUUUUUUUACUGUUUUCCCUCUCUGGACCAUUCCCUCUUUUCCCUUUGUAUCAUUUUAUUUCAAACCUGUUCAUUCUUUGAUAAGGUUUGAGCAAGAAUUGCAAAAAUAUAUUGUUCGAUAAAUUAGAUACCAUGUCCUCAUGAACAGUCUUUUAUCAAACACAAAUAUUAUGGCAACCUGUACCCAGGAGGGAAAUGGGAUGGAUGGCCCACUUAAUUUCCUUUAUAGUUAAAGGAAAACAAAAACAAAAACAAAAACAAAAACAAAAACAAAAACAAAAAAAAAUCAUGAGAUCAAGAAACCAAAUUCUUUUGGUUUUUUGACUGACUGUGACAGAGGCCUAUCAGAAAUGCUCUGUACUAUUUGGUCCUUGCGGUUAACACAGUCCAAAACUAUUCCCACAAGAGAAAUUGUUACAAAAACAAUGCAAAGUAUUAACAGCAAAUAGGAAUCAAACUCCUUCCCCAAAAUAAUGAAUGCUGUCUUUCAGCUUUUUUACUUUCUUUAGUAAGAAUGAAGAUGCUGAUUUCCUCCUUCCCUCCUGCUUCUCCAACCCUCCCUUCUACCUUUCUCUCCUUCCCUUUUCUCUUUCUUUCUUCCUUCCUUUCUUCCUUCCUCCCUCCCUUCCUUCCUCUUUCCUUUCUUUCAUUUGCUUUUCUUUCCUUCUCUAUUUCUUUUUCCCUGUUGACUUGACUGACACACAGAACAUCUUUUUAGGUUUUAUAUUCUUAGAUGCAAAAUCUCUAUAUAAAUAAUAUAUUUCUUUGGUAAGUCACAUUGUAUUUCCUAAUUCCAAAGAGCUUUUAAGAAUACUUAAUAUUUGACUUAGAUGUUUUUUCCUAAGUUAUACUCACAUUUUAGUGGCUGUUUAUGAAUACAGUUAUUUCAGUUUGCAUUAAAACAGAAUUGAGAGGAGUUCCCUUCGUGGCUCAGUGGUUAACGAAUCCGACUAGGAACCACGAGCCUGCAUCACUUUUUGAUUUUUUUCUCCACACAAUAUUUUAAUAGGUAUUGAUUCCUAAUUAGCAUUCUGAAAACAAUUUAGAUUGUUUUUUUAUUCUGGUUAUUUUUGUUUUGUUUGUUUUGUUUUCCUUUCUAGGGCUGCAUCUGCAGCAUAUGGAAGUUUCCAGGCUAGUGGUCAAACCAGAGCUGGAAGCCACCAGACUACUCCAGAGCCAUAGCAACUUGGGAACUGAGCCACAUCUGUGACCUAACACCAUAGCUCAUGGCAACGCCAGAUCCUUAACCCACUGGGCAGGGCCAAGGGAUGGACCCGAAUCCUCAUAGAU
ensembl:lncRNA